rnacentral:rRNA from 1 species
AACGCGAAGAACCUUACCUAAGCUUGACAUCCUUUUGACCGAUGCCUAAUCGCAUCUUUCCUUUCGGGGACAGAAGUGACAGGUGGUGCAUGGUUGUCGUCAGCUCGUGUCGUGAGAUGUUGGGUUAAGUCCCGCAACGAGCGCAACCCUUGCCUUUAGUUGCCAUCAUUAAGUUGGGCACUCUAGAGGGACUGCCAGGGAUAACCUGGAGGAAGGUGGGGAUGACGUCAAAUCAUCAUGCCCCUUAUGCUUAGGGCUACACACGUGCUACAAUGGGUGGUACAGAGGGCAGCCAAGUCGUGAGGCGGAGCUAAUCCCUUAAGGCCAUUCUCAGUUCGGAUUGUAGGCUGAAACUCGCCUACAUGAAGCUGGAGUUACUAGUAAUCGCAGAUCAGAAUGCUGCGGUGAAUGCGUUCCCGGGUCUUGUACACACCG